UGUAGUGUAUCCUCUCGGGCAAAAGCAUGUUGUUUUGGUUGUAUUGCUGCUGGUGGCUCCGACUCAGUCUGCAAGAACACUUGUUGUUUCCCAUGUAUUCUGGCCGAUUCUGUUGUUGCUAAGAUGGACGAAAUGGGAGUUCUUGCUAAGAUGGAAGGACAAGCCUAAAACAACAUACUCGCAUUGCUACCAGUCUUAAUGCCUUUCAUAAGAAUAUGUUGUUUUGCUUCAAGUUAUGGCCAAGUUAUGUUAAUGUUUAUCUCCAAUAAAUUGUUGACCAUAUGGAGCGAUCUAUAGUCGAUCCAUCUGUUGGUCCCAACUAUUUGUACGUCGUGCAUGUGUGCGCUCACAAGCAUAUUUAAUUUCUCUUGCUACUUUUAAUAAGGCCAUAGCACUAUCCAAUGUGUCAUCUGUUGGUCUCUGACCUUAGCAAUUUAAUGCAACAUGAUUAUUAUUA